rnacentral:lncRNA from 1 species
CAGAGAGGAGAGGAGGCUUGCUCCACAGUCUUACAGCUUGGAGCCUUGGCUCCCAGCCCCUCCACCCACCCUCCAUCUCUUGGGUUUCUUCUGGGGGACUCCCUAUUCCAUGGUAGUGGUUUGAAUGUCCACUCAUGGGGAAGCGAAGCAAAGACUCUACAAAAAAUACCCAGAGGCACUUCUGGACAACUAACUUCUCCUCCACACUUCCAUGCCUCUGUGAAAGCCACUCCUUCACAUGAAAUGACAUUGCCUGUUUGUACUGAAGACAGUUAAUUCCUCCAGGGCCUGGACCUAUUACUAGUUUCCUGGAGCCUGGACCAGAUCUAGGUAGAGGACGGCAGCAAGGCAGAAGAAAAGAUGGAAGUUAGUGCAGCAGCAUGGUCACUAACCUGAGCAUCCCACUAGACCUUCAUUCUCUUACUUCUUUGGGAAUGGGGGAAGGAAAAAUGGCUACAGUGGAGGUCACAGAGUAGAAGAGCCCAUCCUCUCCAAAGCCCAACUCUUCUACCUCUAUAACCACCCAGGGUGCCAUUUCCCCUCAACUAGCCAUAAUAGCUGACUCUGCUGAAAAGGCAGAAUCAUUGUCCCUAUCUUUCAGGUUUCUAUUUGAAUGUCAUAUCUUCCAGAAAGCCCUCUAAAAGCUAGUUCUUCCUUUACUUUGCUCUCUAAGUACUUUUCCCACAUUCUAAUUUAUUAUUUCAGUGAAUAUUUAUUCAUCACCCACUAUGCACUGUGUUCUAUACCAUGUACAGGCUCUGUGCUAGAAGUUGAGGCUACAAAGGCAAAUAAGAUGCCAUCAUUAUCUUCAAGUUUGCAGUCUUGUGAGAGGGGGGUUGAGGAAGUGGAGACACAGACACUAUGACAUUAGACAGUGAAAUUAGAAGGCAGCAUUGGGAGUUAAGGGAACAUCCCCUCCAAGCAAGAUUCCUAGGAGAAACAAGACUUGAAUUGCAUCUUGAAAGCUGUUCAUCCACAGACCUUCAAAGGAUGUGCCACCAGUCUCAGCUAUGCAGUAAACAGUCCCGGCAAAGGAUCUUUGUGCAGAUUUGUGAUUAAAGGCAAACAAGAUAAUGAGUCCCAGGACCAGGGGAGAGCAGUCCGCACUCUCAUGCAUUCCUCAAUUCACAUGGCCCUGGAAACCUUUCAGUGUGGCAGUGGCUGUGGCAAUCACUCUGCCAACUGCAGAAUAAAGGGUCCUGUCUGGAAAUGCAAUUAUUUCCAAAUAAAAGGUUUUUAAAAGACACACACGAUAGCAUUUUUGGUUUUCAGAAACUGAUAUACCAAAUAAGGACAAAAAUUAACUUUGUAAAAAAUGAAGAUGAUGAAGACAAUGAAGAGAUGGUGAUGAUGAUGAUGGAUGAAGAUUGUGGUGAUAAGCAUGAUGAAUAUAUUGAGAAGGUGAAGAUGAUGAAGAUGAAGAUGGUGAUGAUGAUGGUAGCAGCAACCACCAUUUUCUGAGCACAUAAAUGUGCCACUCACUAUGUUGGCUACUCUAUAGACAUUAUCUCUAAUUAUUACAAUAACCCUGUAAGACAAAGUUUAGCACCUCCAUUUAACACAUGAGAAACUGAAGCUCAGAGAAGUGAAGUAACCUGCCUGAGGUCACAACCUUAGGCAUGAAAAAGGAUUGACAGAGAUUACUGCUUGAAUUAUUACUCCAAAUCCUGUGCCUCUAACCACUAACAUAACCACUUCAUUUGUUUACUCCUUCAUUUAUUUAAAAAAUUUAUUCAUCUAUUGAAUGAAUGUUUACUUGGUCUCAGAUAUACCUAUGAUACCUGCUAGACCUUCCUAAUCCCCAUUUGUCAAGAAAAUGCCACCACCCUCACAUUAGGGAUAAAUGAAAAUGAGGGUGAAUUAUAUUCAAAUCAAGGUUUAUCAGCCUGGCGUGGUGGCUCAUGCCUGUAAUCCCAGCACUUUGGGAGGCUGAGGUGGGAGGAUCACCUGAG